UACGGGGGGGGGUAAGCGUUGUUCGGAAUUACUGGGCGUAAAGGGCUCGUAGGCGGCCAACUAAGUCAGACGUGAAAUCCCUCAGCUUAACUGGGGAACUGCGUCUGAUACUGGAUGGCUUGGAUUCGGGAGAGGAAUGUGGAAUUCCAGGUGUAGCGGUGAAAUGCGUAGAUAUCUGGAGGAACACCGGUGGCGAAGGCGGCAUCCUGGACCGGUAUUGACGCUGAGGCGCGAAAGCCAGGGGAGCAAACGGG
rnacentral:rRNA from 1 species